UACGUAGGGACCAAGCGUUGUUCGGAUUUACUGGGCGUAAAGGGUGCGUAGGCGGGUCUUUAAGUCAGGGGUGAAAUCCUGGAGCUCAACUCCAGAACUGCCUUUGAUACUGAAGAUCUUGAGUUCGGGAGAGGUGAGUGGAACUGCGAGUGUAGAGGUGAAAUUCGUAGAUAUUCGCAAGAACACCAGUGGCGAAGGCGGCUCACUGGCCCGAUACUGACGCUGAGGCACGAAAGCGUGGGGAGCAAACAGG
rnacentral:rRNA from 1 species